rnacentral:rRNA from 1 species
AGUGAACGCUGGCGGUAGGCCUAACACAUGCAAGUCGAACGGCAGCACAGUAAGAGCUUGCUCUUACGGGUGGCGAGUGGCGGACGGGUGAGGAAUACAUCGGAAUCUACUUUUUCGUGGGGGAUAACGUAGGGAAACUGACGCUAAUACCGCAUACGACCUACGGGUGAAAGCAGUGGAUCUUCGGACCUUGCGCGAUUGAAUGAGCCGAUGUCGGAUUAGCUAGUUGGCGGGGUAAAGGCCCACCAAGGCGACGAUCCGUAGCUGGUCUGAGAGGAUGAUCAGCCACACUGGAACUGAGACACGGUCCAGACUCCUACGGGAGGCAGCAGUGGGGAAUAUUGGACAAUGGGCGCAAGCCUGACCCAGCCAUACCGCGUGGGUGAAGAAGGCCUUCGGGUUGUAAAGCCCUUUUGUUGGGAAAGAAAAGCAGCAGGUUAAUACCCCGCUGUUCUGACGGUACCCAAAGAAUAAGCACCGGCUAACUUCGUG